rnacentral:rRNA from 1 species
GACGAACGCUGGCGGCGUGCUUAACACAUGCAAGUCGAACGAAGAGCGAUGGAAGCUUGCUUCUAUCAAUCUUAGUGGCGAACGGGUGAGUAACGCGUAAUCAACCUGCCCUUCAGAGGGGGACAACAGUUGGAAACGACUGCUAAUACCGCAUACGAUCUAACCUCGGCAUCGAGGAUAGAUGAAAGGUGGCCUCUACAUGUAAGCUAUCACUGAAGGAGGGGAUUGCGUCUGAUUAGCUAGUUGGAGGGUAACGGCCCACCAAGGCGAUGAUCAGUAGCCGGUCUGAGAGGAUGAACGGCCACAUUGGGACUGAGACACGGCCCAGACUCCUACGGGAGGCAGCAGUGGGGAAUCUUCCGCAAUGGACGAAAGUCUGACGGAGCAACGCCGCGUGAGUGAUGACGGCCUUCGGGUUGUAAAGCUCUGUUAAUCGGGACGAAAGGCCUUCUUGCGAAUAGUGAGAAGGAUUGACGGUACCGGAAUAGAAAGCCACGGCUAACUACGUG